CAGACGCGGUAAUACGUAAGAGACGAGCGUUGUCCGGAGUUACUGGGCGUAAAGGGUGCGCAGGCGGCGGUGCGCGUGUGCGGUGAAAUCUCCUGGCUCAACUGGGAGGGGGCCGUGCAGACGGUAUCGCUUGAGGGUCGGAGAGGGGCGUGGAAUUCCGGGUGGAGCGGUGAAAUGCGUACAGAUCCGGAGGAACACCGACGGCGAAGGCAGCGCCCUGAUCGACACCUGACGCUCAGGCACGAAAGCUGGGGGAGCGAACAAGAUUAGAUACCCUGGUAGUCCCAGCUGUAAACGAUGUCCACCGGGUGCUGGGGGUAUCGACCCCCUCGGUGCCGCAGCCAACGUGAUGA
rnacentral:rRNA from 1 species